rnacentral:rRNA from 1 species
GAUCAACGCUGGCGGCGUGCAUAACACAUGCAAGUCGAACGAUGAAGAUUAAAAGAUUUCUUCGGAAUGAACUUAAUUGGAUUAGUGGCGGACGGGUGAGUAACGCGUGAGUAACCUGCCUUGUACAAGGGGAUAGCCGUUGGAAACGACGAAUAAUACCCUAUGACAUCAAAUAAUCGCAUGAUAAUUUGAUCAAAGAUUUAUCGGUAUAAGAUGGACUCGCGUCUGAUUAGCUAGUUGGUAGAGUAAAAGCCUACCAAGGCAACGAUCAGUAGCCGGCUGGAGAGCGUGUCCGGCCCCUUUGGGAGUGCGCCCCGCCCCGGACCCCCACGGGAGGAGCGAGUGGGGAAUUUUGCCAAGUGGGGGAAACCUUGUGGAGCGGCGGCCCGUAAAUUUAGAUGCCCUGGGGAUUAAAAAAUUCUUUUUUAUGGGAAAAAAAUGACAGUCCCAUAAAAAAAAGGCCCGGCUAAUUCCGUG